rnacentral:lncRNA from 1 species
UUGUAUUACUCUCUUGACAUCGGUGCUUGAAGUUAACGUCCGUAGAUCCUGCUGCUUUCGCAACAUUGAUUAAUUCAACUGGCAGGCAAAAUUUCACAUAUAGGCCACUAGUAGGGGCUGUAACUCCGACAGAGCAACUUGGUAAAUCGGCCCUAGCCCCAUCUUGCACCAUGGAAAGUCGGCAUGUGCUUCUGUUCGCAAAAUGGUGGUAACUCAUCUCGUAUUUCAUCAGAGAUCCGAAAUGCUGAACGAGAAACUGGGGAGCAGCAAGAAGAAGUUAAUCCCCAACAGGACGCAAAUGAAAAACCCCAGCGG